UUCAUCCCGCCGGUUGGAAAAUAUUAAAUAGUCCCAGAAUAUGUAGCACAGGCAUCCCCAUGGACUGCAAGAAAACAGCAGGCCAGCUAAUCUAUUAAAAUCCUUCACCAGCUGCAAUUUAUAUUACCAACUGUUAUUAUAUUUUAUAUGAAUCACUUACUAACAAAUACAUCAAAAUGAUAACAAAAAUAAAGGUGCAAUAACAGAAAACAAUGAAAAACAACAAAUUAAUAAAAGGAUGCUUUGGCGUUUGAAUGUCAGUAACUAUUUACCCCAAUCAAAUGUUAACUUUCCCAGUAUAGCUUCAGAUGUAUAUACUGCAAUGACAGAAAAAAACAUUUUCAAGAUGUGCAGUGAAACCCCUAUACAACGUGUAGUAAUAUAACACAAUAUUAGAUAUAACGUGGUCACCAAUGACAUUCCAUUAGGCAUAUAACUGGAUUUUAUGUGAAUAUCAACAUUUAACAUAUGUAGGUUCCUACAUGUAAG